GCAUGUUCUGAUUUGAGGUGAACCCAAACAACUGGUUCCAUCUCAGUGUACGUCAUGCUAUAUCAGCUUGACUCAGAACCAUUGGCUGGUCCCAUUCAGUGGGCCUGAUCACUGAAAUGAGUCAGACAUUA
rnacentral:snoRNA from 1 species